GGCUAAUAUAGGUAAUCCAAGCGUAACUCUUGGGCUGUGCCGCAACUGUUAAAGUCAGAAAACUAUAUUUGCC
rnacentral:ncRNA from 2 species